UACGAAGGGGGCUAGCGUUGUUCGGAAUCACUGGGCGUAAAGCGCACGUAGGCGGGUCGUUAAGUCAGGGGUGAAAUCCCGGAGCUCAACUCCGGAACUGCCUUUGAUACUGGCGAUCUUGAGAUCGGAAGAGGUGAGUGGAAUUCCCAGUGUAGAGGUGAAAUUCGUAGAUAUUGGGAAGAACACCAGUGGCGAAGGCGGCUCACUGGUCCGAUACUGACGCUGAGGUGCGAAAGCGUGGGGAGCAAACAGG
rnacentral:rRNA from 1 species